AUGCUUGCAUGACAGGGGAGAUAACAUGUUCACAAAGGUAGUUUUCCCAAUGUGAGGCUUACCUACUACAUUCUAUAUAUAUGCUUAUCCCUGCAAUUUCCCCAAAUCUGGGAAGCACAACUGCAUAAUCUCUGGUACAAGGGACUGUACUCAUGCUCUCUCCAAC
rnacentral:snRNA from 1 species